GUCUGCCCGCGGCGUCGCCAGCGUCUCUGGCGGCCAGUGCGGCGGCGGCGCUGCGACGCGGAGGGACGCAGAUGGCAGUGACGAUCAAGCCCUCGAUGGACGACCUCAUCUGGGGUCCCAUUACGAUGUAUGCUGUGGCAGCGGUGAUCGCCUUCUACGGUGCUUGUGAAAGCUGCCAAAAAUUGUCGCCUCAAGCUAAUGAAUAGGAGUGUGUGAGGUACUACUGUGAAAAACUGGUGUUGACUAAGAUCGCUGGAUACAGCGAUAAAGUGUGGAAAGAUCGCCUAAUUAUUUUUGGUAAGAGAAGCUACCUGAGCAUCUAGAUAUGGCAAGCGCUCAGUAGGUCAUCUCCCGUACUGGACCGGCGAUUAGGGUGGGAGCAAUUCAAAACCUAUUCAUCAUUCGUUGUUAUACGUAUGAGGCAGGAGAUAGAGAGAAGAGGCCUUGACGGAAAGACAUCGAUCACUCAUAUAUAUGAAAUUGGAUUGUAUGGAACUAACUGCAGCUGUGUAACGAAUAAAAUAUGCACAUCAAACUGGCUUGAUAACUGCAACAGUA